UGGGGAAUUUUCCGCAAUGGGCGAAAGCCUGACGGAGCAAUACCGCGUGAGGGAGGAAGGCUCUUGGGUUGUAAACCUCUUUUCUCAGGGAAUAAAAAAAUGAAGGUACCUGAGGAAUAAGCAUCGGCUAACUCCGUGCCAGCAGCCGCGGUAAUACGGAGGAUGCAAGCGUUAUCCGGAAUGAUUGGGCGUAAAGCGUCCGCAGGUGGCUAUGUAAGUCUGCUGUUAAAGAGCAAGGCUCAACCUUGUAAAGGCAGUGGAAACUACAUAGCUAGAGUGCGUUCGGGGCAGAGGGAAUUCCUGGUGUAGCGGUGAAAUGCGUAGAGAUCAGGAAGAACACCGGUGGCGAAAGCGCUCUGCUAGGCCGCAACUGACACUGAGGGACGAAAGCUAGGGGAGCGAAUG
rnacentral:rRNA from 1 species